GUCUGGUUCCACCCCCACCAGCACCAUAUGCAGACUCAGCAGCAUCAGCAUGGCUUCGCCACAACAAACGUACCUGGUGUUAAACACCCUCUGUAUGACUUCCCUCUAGACAUAUGGAUCAUAUGUCAGUCUCCACAGUCCCAGACCCUGAGCUCCCCAACCGAUACCCCCCACCCCAACCGGACCAGGCCAGGCCAGUAUGAAGAAUCUGAGGAGGGGCUGAGCCUUCAGUUUCUUGGAACAAGACUAAAUCAUGGAGCUUCCUCUUUGGAGAAACUUCAGACACUCUUCUGUCAUCCUGCUUGGUGUGUGCAUUCUCCCCACACUGUUGUUGAGGGGUGGUGAGGUGUUACCUGGCUCUGAGAGCACCACCUAAAACCCCCAGCCCACCAUGCACACUCACCUGGGGAUAGACUCCACCCCCUGGAGUCAUCAAGACUCCUUCCGAGGACAUGAACUAAUUCUAAUGGGAGGAGCUGAGCCGAUGGGAGGCGGUCCAUGUGGAGGAGAUGCUCACCUGUUUCAGCAUUACCUACAUGUGCCACCAUUUCAGCCGGUCCCCUCCUCUUUCCUCUAUCCAUCCACCAGUCCGAGCGGAGAGCAGCAUGCUGGGUGGGCUGGGAGCUCUGGUGUCCCAAUCAAAGCAGGCAGACAGGAGAGAGAUGAGUCAAUAAAACUUUGAGGAAAGUGCAAUUUUGUUGGCUAGCUGUUGGAAAAGUUAAAUAUCUUUGUAAGAUAACUCUUUGAACACAGCUGUGGAAAAGUAUAUCUAAAUAUAUAUUUUUCUUCCUAGUCCGCUCACUCCUCCGGGACUCUAAAAUACUGGGGUAAAAAAGAAAACAGCACUGAACUCCAACCCACAGGCUUGUGAGAACUAAGACGAGCUGUUUUCACUUCUAUUGUUUAGUAUUUGUUGUAUGUUCUUGUAAAGUUGUUAGUUUGGUAGAAGCCCUUUAAGAUAUAUCAUUUUAAACUCUCCGUUUUUUAAAAGUAUUUCUUGCAGACAAAUCUGCUUUUUUUAAGUUUAAAAUGAAAAUAAUGCAAAUCACAUAACUUAUUUUACUGAGCACUUCGAGGCAAAUCAAAAAAAAAAAAAAAAAAAUCAGGCAAAAACAUUGAAAAAUGACAUUUUCUCUGUUUUCUGUUGACAUGAUAAUCCGCCCGGUAACGGGCCGCCCUGUUAUUGGGUCAGCCUCUCAGAGGCCUUGUCCAAUCACAAGCACUUCUUCCUUUGACCAAUGGGCUAUGAGUGUGUAAUCAGGGGGUGUGGUUUAGUAAUGAAGAGGCGGAGCAGACAGGAACAACCCAGCGCUUCACAUGCAACUCUGCAUUUACUCAACUUCACUUGCUUUUCUUUCCUAUACCAUAAAUAUAUUAAACUAUAUAAAUAUAUACACACUCACACACACUUUAACAACCACCCAGCGUUUAAAAAAUGUGAAUUUAAGUGAAAAAUGUAAAAUGAAUAAAAAAAACCUGCAUGUUUUAGUGUUAGUGACAGUUUUUCCACAGAUGACGUAGUUAGUGAGAUACAGGCCGAAUAUUUAAAGCCAACAUCAGGGACUUCCAGCAGCCGCCUUCUUCCUGCCGCUGUCCCUCACAAACGCUUCCCACCAUCCCUCCGGUCUGUUGGUUCCUCCUCCAUCCCCACAGAUCAGUUCUGCUCCUCAGGUCCAAGACCAUCUUUCAUCUGUCGGGAAACAUGUUGCACGAAAUCAGUCGUUCCUCGUCAAUGUGCCUUGAGCUGAAGUCCUUGAGGACGAUCCGCCGUGGGGAGCGGCGUUUGCGUUACCGCUAGCGCUCUGCUUUUUGCACAGGAAGCUGUGAUCCAGUCCAUCAUCAUCCAUAUGAGCAGCAAGUCUGAGGCAGUCAGCUGGUCCAGCCUGUAAUAAAACCAGCUGUUAGAACAGCUCAUGUGAUAAGCUGCUUGUGUCCGUCCUGCAUCGUCCUCCAUGACAACUUCCUGCAGACUCGCUGCUCAUUGGAAUAAUUUUGAAACCGAACUUUCUUCCUGUCUUCCUUCACUUCCGUUGCUGCGAUCUCCAAAUCUUGUCACGUCUUCCUGUUUUUAUUAUUUCCUCCAUUUUGUUCCAGAGACAAGCCAAAUAUGCAAAAACCUGCUCACUCGUCUUCUCUCUCUUUACUUUCAACCAAAGUUAGCGUGCACGUGACAGCCAUUGUGGUUGGUCCCUAAGAAUGGAGAAGCCCUGCAGCGACACUCCACUUCCUGUUCCACCCGAGUCCUUCCAGCAACCCUCCAACAUGUCUGACUUCCUCUCCAUCACAGAAGACUCGUCUGACAAUGACUCGCUGGGCGGAGAUGAUUCCCUGUUCAGCUCCAAUGUCCAGCAGGAGGCGCUGUGAUGGUGGAGGAGCUACAGGUGUCUGGGUUGUUACCUCUCCUUCCUUUUAACCGCGACGUGGCCCUCAUUUAUCUGCAUUAGAUAGAAAACAAACAACAAAGCAGCUUCCAGGUUACAAAAAAAACAAAGUUGCAACAUUAUUAAAAAAACGUACCAUCAGACCCGAGCAGAACCCGUCCGGAGCCGUUCCCUGGGCCGAUCGAACCGUCGGACCCGAGCCGAGCCCGUCCGGAGCCGUUCCCUGGGCCGAUCGAACCGUCGGACCCGAGCCGAGCCCGUCCGGAGCCGUUCCCUGGGCCGAUCGAACCGUCGGACCCGAGCCGAGCCCGUCCGGAGCCGUUCCCUGGGCCGAUCGAACCGUCAGACCCGAGCCAGGACCUAAGCAAUAGUUGGGGCAGUGUGUUUUCGUGGUUUGGUUUGUUUCAGUGUCAGCUGGAACCGGGUUGAGGCGGCGCCGCUGGGCCCGACCCAUCUCUGUUGUAUAGUUUUUGGAAUUCCAGGGAUUUUGUCAGGUUAUUAAAGGAAAAGUUCCGGCUCCGAAGCCUCAUUGGUAGAACCGAAAUUAAAACUUUCCUGUUUCUUUUCUUGUCUUUUUACUGGAUUUGUGUAUAUUUAAGGACAUUUUUCUGCUGUUGAUGACAUCAUGGCGUUGCUGAUGACAUCACAGUGUUCUUGCUCUGAAUGGGAACCCGAGCUGAUCCAUGUAAAUGUUCCAGUUUGCUGUAUGUGAUGAAGCUAAAUUUAGUGGUUGUGAGGAAACGAAAAUGUCUGCGUUUUUAUGCAUUUUAAGGUUUAGUUGUAGGAGACGACGUAGACGCGACGGAUGAAGGACCGCCAUCUUUUCUUCUUCUGUUCAUCAUUCCAUGCAGGAAAUAAACUGCUUGAUUA